CCUACGGGAGGCAGCAGUGGGGGAUAUUGCACAAUGGGGGGAACUCUGAUGCAGCGACGCCGCGUGGGUGAAGGAGCGUUUCGGCGCGUAAAGCCCUAUCGGGAGGGAAGAAGACGACGGCACCUGACCAAGAAGCACCGGCGAACUACGUGCCAGCAGCCGCGGUAAUACGUCGGGGGCAAGAGUUAUACGGAUUUACUGGGUGGAAAGGGGGCGCCGGCGGCUCUGGAAGCAAGGCGUGAAAGCACGGGGCUCAACCCCGGGACUGCUGUUGGAAAUGCAUGGCUGGAGUGCAGGAGGGGCAGGCGGAAUUCCUAGUGUAGCGGUGAAAUGCGUAGAUAUUAGGAGGAACACCGGUGGCGAAGGCGGCCUGCUGGACUGUAACUGACGUUGAGGCCCGAAGGCGUGGGGAGCAAACAGGAUUAGAUACCCCUGUAGUC
rnacentral:rRNA from 1 species